rnacentral:rRNA from 1 species
AAAUACCGCUAUCUGGAUUCGACUAAGCCAUGCGAGUCGAGAGUCUUCGGGACUCGACGAACUGCUCAGUAAUAUGUGGUUAAUCUGCCCUAAAGUCAGAAAUAAUUUCGAGAAAUUGAAGCUAAUAUCUGAUAGAUAUUCUAAUCUGGGAUGAUUGAAUGUCAAAAGCUUUUGCGCUUUAGGAUGGGACCGCAGCCUAUCAGCUUGUUGGGGGUGUAAUGGACCCCCAAGGCGAUUACGGGUAUGGGCCAUGAAAGUGGAAGCCCAGAGAUGGAUUCUGAGACAUGAAUCCAGGCCCUACGGGGCGCAGCAGGCGCGAAACCUUUACAAUGCACGAUAGUGUGAUAAGGGAAUCCAGAGUGCUGUAGCAAUGCUACAGCUUUUGUUAAGUUCAAACAGCUUAGCGAAUAAGAGAUGGGUAAGACGGGUGCCAGCCGCCGCGGUAAUACCCGCGUCUCAAGUGGUAUUCAUUUUUAUUAGGUUUAAAGCGUCCGUAGCCGGUUUAAUAAGUUCCUGGUGAAAUUUCAUAGUAAACUAUGGAGCUUGCUAGGAAUACUGUUAAACUUGGGACCGGGAAAGGGUAGAGGUACUCCUGAGGAAGGGGUAAAAUCCUAUAAUCUUAGGAUGACCACCUGUGGCGAAGGCGUCUACCUGGAGCGGAUCCGACGGUGAUGGACGAAACCUAGGGGAGCGAUUGGGAUUAGAUACCCCAGUAGUCCUAGGCGUAAACGAUGCCCGUUUGGUAUUGCAUGCCUUUUGAGGGUUUGCAGUGUCGUAGUGUAAAUGUUAAACGGGCCACCUGAGAAGUACGGUCGCAAGGCUAAAACUUAAGGGAAUUGGCGGGGGAGCACACCAGGGGUGGAGGCUGCGGUUC